GAAACAAAGGGUCACCCUCAGUGGUGGUAUUCGACCGGUUCUGCCCAGUUCUGGAGAGCAGGAAGCAGCGAUAAGCAGCGGAGAUGGAACCGGUUCUCUCCACUGCUCUGUGUUUGGCCCACUCUCCCACCCAGGCUUCCAUACUCACUUUUAUGGCCAGAAUUCGAAGCGCAGCUACUUUGCGCGGUGCA